rnacentral:rRNA from 1 species
UACGUAGGGUGCGAGCGUUAAUCGGAAUUACUGGGCGUAAAGCGUGCGCAGGCGGAGGCCUAAGCCAGACGUGAAAUCCCCGAGCUUAACUUGGGAAUGGCGUUUGGGACUGGGUCACUGGAGUGCGGCAGAGGGAACUGGAAUUCCAGGUGUAGCAGUGAAAUGCGUAGAUAUCUGGAGGAACACCGAUGGCGAAGGCAGGUUCCUGGGCCAGCACUGACGCUCAUGCACGAAAGCGUGGGGAGCAAACAGG